rnacentral:rRNA from 1 species
UACGUAGGGUGCAAGCGUUAAUCGGAAUUACUGGGCGUAAAGCGUGCGCAGGCGGUUUUGUAAGUCUGUCGUGAAAUCCCCGGGCUCAACCUGGGAAUUGCGAUGGAGACUGCAAGGCUAGAAUCUGGCAGAGGGGGGUAGAAUUCCACGUGUAGCAGUGAAAUGCGUAGAUAUCAGGAGGAACACCAAUAGCGAAGGCAGCUCGCUGGGACGGUACUGACGCUGAGGCGCGAAAGCGUGGGGAGCGAACAGG